rnacentral:ncRNA from 1 species
GAAGCGCGAACCAAGACGUCGCGCAAGCGACGUAAGGCUUGGAGCUGGUGUCCGCAAGAACGACAUGCA